GUGCUUGCUACGGCAGCACACCUACUAAAAUUGGAUCGAUACAGAGAAGAUUAGCAUGGCCCCUGCGCAAAAGGAGGUAAUGGUUCUUCACGGUGGCCAGCGCCAUGUUA